rnacentral:lncRNA from 1 species
AGAGACUGAGCAGCUCCAAGCACCAAAAAUAACCACAGAGGAAAAGAUAACAGGGAGCAGAGCCAAGCUUGAUUCCAUCCUGAAGUGGCUUCCCCAUGAAAGACAGCAGUAAUUAGAAAGAGAGAAAUCUUACAGGCAAAGGCUAUUCGACAUUUGGGAUUCCUAAGCUAAUCUUUUUAUUUUUGGAAGGGUGUCUUUCUGAGAAAGGCAGCCAGAGGCACAGCACCAACCUUUCUGACAGUGUGGUCUUCACACUGUUAGUUCUGACAAAGGGAGUCAAGGAGUCGUCCUUGGAGGAGGCGAUGAGGCCAGUGGAAGAAUUGUGGCUGGGGACCCCUCCACUGCUGAGGGAGAUGUCGAUGGACUCACAGCUGGUGUGGAGGCUGCUGACAGACUGAAAGCCCAGGCCAUCCUUGCUAACUGCGGAGGAGCUGCUGGCGUUGGUGCCCCAGGGCCAAGACAGCCCCGGCCUCUUACCAGUUCCUGGGGUCUUCAGUGCGCCUGCCGGGGCUGAAGGCUUCGUCCUUGGCAUGGUGAUGCCCACCUGAGCUGUCAUGCCUCGCCGCCAUGAGCCUGUCUGGGAGAUGACAGGAUUCUUCUUGCCCGACGUGCUUUUGUCGGACUCGUCAGACACAUCAGAAGGAUUCCGCCUCCACUUGGAACCUGGCUCCAUUUUUAUGCCGCUGUCUGAGCCUCCGUCUGAUUUCUUGACAUCAUCACCAGACCACAGGGAAUUCCUCUCCACCUCUAAGUAUUAGUCACUAGAGAUAUGAGGAGGACAAACACACACUGCCUGGCUAUGAGAAGCUCAUCAUUCAGCUGUGGCAAGGGACAGAGAGAGGGGAGUUCCUACAUGUGGGCACAGGGCAGGAGCUCACUCAAAGCUUGAUGAGCGAAUGAAUGAGCCUAGGAAGGAGCCAAGGAACACACGCUUUUCAGGCCACAACAGACAUUAGCAAAAUUAUCUUAUCCGAUCUCAGCCUCUAUUUAAUCAGAAAGGGUAAGUACACAAGUACUCAAGUACUGUUAUCUUUAUCUCAAUCUUACAGAAACUAAAGUUGCCCAUUCUUUGUCCCAACUACCUCAGGUCAGUUUCCUUCCUCUAAACACUUCCAGUACAUUCAUCCAACCAGAAUUUACUCCAUGCUUGCUGUCUGCCAGGCACCACGGAGGGUCAGAGAAUCUGGGGAUAAGACUGAUUUCCCACCCAUGGUGGAGCUUACGAUCCAGUGAAACAGGCAGAGAUAGAAUAAAUAAACACAAACAAGGGUGUAAUUGUAGACUACGAAGACUAUUAUAAGGAAAAAGACAAAAAGUCUGAGAAAUAAAUAUAGACAUUGACCUAAUUUAGAUGACAAUGAGGUGGGUAGGCGACAGUGAUCAGUUCAAAAAGAAGUACCCUAAAGAAAGAAAAGAAACUUACUUAGUAAAAGAAGAGUUUGGGGCAGAGCAUACCAGGGAGAGGGAACCACAUGUAUAAAGGUCCUGAGGCAGAAAAUAACUUGGCUUUGGAACAUUCACUUCACAAAUAUUUAUUGGGUGCCACUACGUGCCAGGAAAGCUUAUUCGCACUAGGAAUACUGCAAUGAACAAGUAUAAAUCAUUAACCUCAUGGAGCUUACAUUCAAGUACAUUUUAACAUAUUCUAAUAUGCUCUAAGAGGUACUGAAAAUUUAGCACAUGCCACAUCCUGGGUUACUGCAUUAUUUAUUCUUUUAAUGUUCCUAUACUUAUUUCCCCCCAAUCAAACUGUAAUGGUGCUAAUACUAGUAGCAUAACAACUACAAUUUAUUGAGUACUUACUACGUCCCAGGCACUAAGCUAAAGUGUUUGAUAUGUAUCAUUAAAUUUAAUCCUUAUCAAAAACCUAUGAGGAAAUUACAGUUAAUAGUCUCAAUUUUACAUGACAAAACUGAGGCAAACAGUGAAAAGAAAAUUUCCCAAGAUCACAUAGUGAGGAAGUAGAGAUGCAGGGAAUUCAGGGAGUCUAACUGCAGAGCCCACAUUUUAACCACCAUGCCACACUGCCCUCCCUAAGGAUAAGUCGAGGUAUAUGAUACAUUUGUGCAUACUCAGUAGCACCUAAUAGCUAUACCCAGCAGAUUCUCCUUCCAUACUGGCAGGCUCCCCAACCCCAGUUCUAGAGCAGCUCUAGCUUAGCCUCUAGGUGGGACCCAUACAACUCCAUUUCCAUCAGUGGCAGAGACAGCGCACAUGCCCCUGGCCUGGGAAUGUGGCUUGACUUUCUCUCUCUGGAAAGAACAAUCAUCCAGCCAUCACAUCUCCCUAGCUUGGUCCAGGGUGGUCACCUUCCCAGCUCUACUCUGAAUCCUUCAUGAGCUACAUGCCGGACUAUAAGGUGGCACCCCUUGGGAUUAAAAAACGAGAAAGUCCCAGCCUCUCUGUUCCUGGAGCUCGCAACAGCGGAACCAGCCAACAGGACAUCCACAUGGGGACGUACGAAGAGUUCUAUCCUGCCUUCCCCUCCAUGCCUCGGCCAGUUGUUUCCAUCUCAAUGGUACCUCCUUUCUGAAGGGUUUUCUUCUGCCUGUUCUUGGAAGUCUAUGUAGUCAUUCGAUAUCCACAUGGGAAGGUGAGGAAAGAAGCCACGCACAAGGGACUUCAGAAGGGAGGCCAGUCUUCUGAGAGCAAGAGGUGAGGCCUGAGGAGCAUGAUGUGGGGGAAGAGUGUGGGCUUUGGGUCUGACAGAUCUGGGUUCAAGUGUUCGGUGCUGCCACUCAUUUGCUGUGCAUGACCUUGGAAGACAUUGCCCUACUUAUCUGAACUUAUUAACUCAUGUAUAAAACAUGGAUGAUAAAUAGGUCUCUUACAGCAUUGAUGGUGAACUCAGUGAACUCAGUGUGGGGGGACUCAAUAAACAGUGGUUCUAUUCAUUACCAACUUUCCUGCCUCUGAAAAUCCCCAGCACUCUGUUGUCCAUCUUUAGCAUUUAUCCUGCCUUUGUCUUGCAUUAUGGGAGAACAGGUACUUGUCUCUUCUGCCACUGGGCCACAGGCCUUUGGAAGGCAGGGAUAUUCCCUCCCUGUGCCAUAUCCCUUGCGGAUCUAGAUGCUGAGCUGGCUCAAGUUUAAGCCCCAGUGACCAUGGAGAUAAUUAUCUGCAUCAACAUCAUCGCCUGCCAGUCAUCCUGCCAGGCACUGUGUCCCUCCACAUACAUCCUGAACUCAUCUUAUCCUCUCAGGCUGUGUUAUUAUCCACAUUUUACACAUCAGGAAAAUACAGGGCUGAAGAGGAAAAGUAACUUACCCAGCGGGUGAGCAGAAGGGGGCACCCCUCCUCACCCCCAGCCAAACCCCAUCCCUACAUCCAUGCCAACAUCUAGAGAGCUCUAGGGUCACUCAAGGCCACACAAGACAGGAAUCCUUGCCACAUAAUUCAGAAUUUUAUUUCCCUGAGUAGCAAAAAAUAAACUGACAUGGAAUUAUCUUUUUCCUCCGCAUAUGUUAUUAAACAUUUCACAGGCAUUGAAAAUGAGAGGAAAUCUUGAUGUGUGCAUCUUUGCUCCUCAGCACCUGGGAUGGUGCCUUCCACAGAACUGAGAGAAAAUACUGAAUGUACAGAUGAAUAUGUGAGGGAGUUGCGUGUGUUUGUUAAAGCCCUUUGCCACCAACAUCUGUCCUCAAAAUAAAAUACUGCAAAGUAAGAUGAGUUGCUUUGAGACUACAAACAAAAUAUAUUAAGAACGUAGUCAACCUUUAGUUAACUGCCAUGAAUGGAGGCUGGAGGCAGAGGAACAGUUAACCCA